rnacentral:rRNA from 1 species
UACGGGGGGGGCAAGCGUUGUUCGGAAUUACUGGGCGUAAAGGGCUCGUAGGCGGCCAACUAAGUCGGAUGUGAAAUCCCCAGGCUUAACCUGGGAAUUGCAUCCGAUACUGGAUGGCUUGAAUCCGGGAGAGGGAUGCGGAAUUCCAGGUGUAGCGGUGAAAUGCGUAGAUAUCUGGAGGAACACCGGUGGCGAAGGCGGCAUCCUGGACCGGCAUUGACGCUGAGGAGCGAAAGCUAGGGGAGCAAACGGG